UGGUGGAGUGAUUUGUCUGGUUGAUUCCGUUAACGAACGAGACCUCGGCCUACUAAAUAGUGACACUCAUUUCACGAUGGGUUUGGUCGCUUCUUAGAGGGACAAUUCGGUUUUACCGGAUGGAAGUUCGAGGCAAUAACA
rnacentral:rRNA from 1 species